GACGUAGGGCGCGAGCGUUGUCCGGAUUUAUUGGGCGUAAAGAGCUCGUAGGCGGCUUGUUGCGUCGUCCGUGAAAACCUGUGGCUCAACUACAGGCUUGCGGUCGAUACGGGCGGGCUGGAGUUCGGUAGGGGAGGACUGGAAUUCCUGGUGUGAGACGGUGGAAAUGCGCAGAUAUCAGGAGGAACACCGGUGGCGAAGGCGGGAUCCUGGGCCAGUACUGACGCUGAGGAGCGAAAGCGUGGGAGCA
rnacentral:rRNA from 1 species